UACGUAGGGUGCGAGCGUUGUCCGGAAUUAUUGGGCGUAAAGAGCUUGUAGGCGGUUUGUCGCGUCUGCCGUGAAAAUUCGAGGCUCAACCUCGAACUUGCGGUGGGUACGGGCAGACUAGAGUGUGGUAGGGGAGACUGGAAUUCCUGGUGUAGCGGUGAAAUGCGCAGAUAUCAGGAGGAACACCGAGUGGCGAAGGCAGGUCUCUGGGCAUUAACUGACGCUGAGGAGCGAAAGCAUGGGGAGCGAACAGG
rnacentral:rRNA from 1 species